rnacentral:rRNA from 1 species
AUUGAACGCUGGCGGCAGGCCUAACACAUGCAAGUCGGGCGAGUGGCGGACGGGUGAGUAAUGCUUGGGAAUCUAGCUUCUGGAGGGGGAUAACUACGGUAAACUGUAGCUAAUACCGCGUACCAUAGGAUGAGCCCAAGUGGGAUUAGUUCAUUGGUGAGGUAAAGGGUCACCAAGCCGACGAUCUCUAGCUGGGCUGAGAGGAUGACCAGCCACACUGGAACUGAGACACGGCCCAGACGCCUACGGGAGGCAGCAGUGGGGAAUAUUGCGCAAUGGGGGCAACCUGACGCAGCCAUGCCGCGUGAAUGAAGAAGGCCUUCGGGUUGUAAAGUUCUUUCGGUAGCGAGGCGUUAACUACAGAAGAAGCACUGGCUAACUCCGUGCCAGCAGCCGCGGUAAUAC